rnacentral:rRNA from 1 species
GACAGAGGUUGCAAGCGUUGUUCGGAAUUACUGGGCAUAAAGCGCACGUAGGCGGUCCGCUAAGUCAUGUGUGAAAUCCCCCGGCUCAACCGGGGAAUGGCGCCUGAUACUGGCGGACUCGAGAUCGGUAGGGGUGAGUGGAACUCCAGGUGGAGCGGUGAAAUGCGUAGAGAUCGGCAGGAACACCAGUGGCGAAAGCGGCUUCCUGGCUCACUUCUGACACUCAUGUGCGAAAGCUAGGGGAGCGAACGGG